CUGUGUGUAAUACUGGUGUUYGAGACGUGACAGAUCCACAGCCAUAUUUUAAAAAAAGAGGUUGGCAUAUUCAUGAGAAUGCAAAGUUACAAAAAAUAUUUGAAGACUGGAGAAAAUGCAGAAAAUGGCCACAGCGAGUCAGUUGCUGCCCCAGGAGACACAAGCACUGGAAGCUGGCUCUGCCAGGUGUAGCCACUACUUGGAUCGAACUCCCCAUCUGGGUGGGAGUAGAAGCAUAAGCACUGCCCAGGAAGGAAUUUUGCAGGAGACAGGAUCCAAAUGUAUCUCAUCUUCAGUAUCUGAAGCUGGACGAGUCAAGGAGUACCCACAUUUAAUCAAAGAGGUAGCUACAAUUCCUGCCAAACUUUCCUGUAUUUCUCCUCACAAUUUUACUGGCUUAUAGCCAUUCUUCAUUGGGAGCUUACUUCCAACUUAUUUUCUGUGCAACACAUC
rnacentral:lncRNA from 1 species